UUGUGUAGAACUCUUGCAUUAGGGCCACUGCAGCAUAGACCUCCACAAAGACCAUUUUAUAGCAUGCCAUUCACAUUGUAGUCUGUAUGGUUUACAGUAAAAGUUCUUAGGAGUGCCAUGACAGCUUUCCCACAGAUCAAUCAUUAAAUUCAGUCCAUCAGUCUUUUGUCCAAUAUCUAAUGAGUACCAUUUUCUGAAGUUGUGUUUUAUUAUAUUUUCUUUGGAGACAGAAUAGUGAUUUAAUGAUUUUGCUAGUGCCAAUUUAUAAUUGACAAUUUGCUAUGAAAUGUAUCACAGCUGUCUUUGGUUUUGAUUUAUGGCUAGAACCAGAAUUAAUCUUUGCUUCAGCGCUUUAUUGCAUUUAAACUGAGCUGUAGCUCACCCCACUGCAGCUUCCUUGAAAUAUCUUGUUUAAAGGUUUUCAGGGAAUCAGAAUAAACCACUGUAUACAUCUAACAAUGCUUCUGCUCCAGAAUAUACUGUGAGAAAACAGCGAAAAUGCAUGCUAAGAAUCUUUAAUAUGACCUUCUAUUUUUAUUGCAAUGGCAAAAGUACUUAAUGAUCAGUUAAACUGGAAGAAUAAAAAAUAUGCACACUACUGAAAUGCACAUCCAGCGGAAGGUAGGAGAGUGUCAGGGUAUUGCUCAAAUACAGAGAGGAUUCAGUUAUGUCCUGUCUGCACACCUUAUUUGGUAACAAAAUGGAUUUUAUAUUUUGAAGCAGUUGCUUUAUGGAGUCAAGAUAAAAUGAUCACAUCAAAAUGCCAUUGCUGUCAAAAUGUCAUGUAAAAACGACCUAGUUGAAAUGUCCUAUGGCAUGCCAGACCACUCUGGUUUCAAGAUUUCACUAUUUCACCCUCAAAAUAUCACCAUGUGCCUGACAAAAGCAAAAACUCUCUUACGUAUACCGCCUUGGUUUUCAGCAUCCCUGUUCAGCAUUUUCCACUUAUUUCCCUCUCUGAUCUCUAGAAAUUUUCCAAGAACCCAGUAUAAGUUAAUUUAUUCUUAACAAGAACAACAAAUUAACAAAGACUUAAAGCUUAUAUCAUGUGCCAGACACAGUUUACAGCAUCAUUAAAUGGCUGGAUUCAUUUAAUCCUGCACAAUCCCUAAGAGGGGGAGCUAUUGUCACUCCAAUUUUAAAGGUGAGGAAACUGAGACAGAGAGAAUUUGUUUGGUACUUUGCCUAAGAACACAGUUAAUAAGUAGUAAUACUGAGACUCACAUUCAUAUAAAUUCCUGCUCCAGAGCUUGGGCUUUCAAGUACUGUAGAAAGCAAAAUAUUCUGUAUUGUUCUAUUCUGUAGACAGACUAAAGAACCAGUAUAGAUGAUCCCAAUCAUGCCCUUUCCACACACUAACUCCAUCUCUGUUGAUGUAGGUAAAUUCUUUUCUUCAGGUUACUGAUAACACGAUAGAUUAUUUUGAGGUAGACUGGUAUUACAGACUAAGAUGUGCUCCCUUGACCCCAAAUUUUCAUGUUGUAGUCCUAACCAUAGUUUCUUAGAAAGUUAAUUAUUUGGAGUUAGAGCCUUUAACAAGGAAAUUAAGGGAAACUAAGAUUAUAUGAGAUCAGAUGGGUGUGUCCUAAUCCAGUUCUUAUAAGAACAGGCCAGGACACAGAGAGAGACAUCGGAAUGCGCUGGCAGAAAGAAAAAAGGUCAUUUGAGGAGGACACUGCAAAUAGGCAGCCAUCCACAAGCCAAGGACAGAGGACUCAAGAAAAACCAAAUUGACCGACUCCUUGUUCUUGGACAUUCAUUCAGCCUCUAGAGUUGUAAGAAAAUAAAUGUCUGUUUUUUGGGCCACCUGGUCUGUGGCGUUGACUCGAACAGUCCUAGCAGACAAAUACAAUAUGUAAACCCACUUAGGGGUAAACAGACCCAUGGAUGAAUGUCUUAGAAAAUAUAUUUUUUAAUAUUUCAGUUUCAGAGAUGCAGCCCAUAAAAGCAGGUUUUUCAAGCAACUUGGUAGGUAAGAUUGGUACUUGUUGCCUGAUGAUUUUGAUUGACUGGUGUGUGUGAUCGCAAGCAUGUGUGUAUGGUCUGCAUUAAGUCCUAACAGUAGCCAUUAUUUUACUUUUAGGGGUGAUUUCCAAUUUGUGCAGUGGAUAAUUACAUUAGGUGGAUAAUGUUGUCAUUUGUGAACCAAAAUUAUUUAUAGCCAUUUGAAAUAAAACUGGAUUCCAUUUCAACUGUGAAUCUUGAUAGUUGAUUUAGUUAAUGUAGUCAUUAGGCAGUUUAUAGCACUGUUUUAUUUUGACAAAAAUAAAAUAAAUACACACAGUAGUAAUGUGUGUUGUAUUUUUUCAAAGAAGCAGCUAAUGUAAAUUCACUUAAAUUGAAAUGCCCCAUUAAAAAUUCAUUUGGUGACAAUUAAGUAAAUUAUGUUUUUCUCCUAAAACUAAUUUUUUUCUGAAAUAUAUAUGACAUUAUGUAGUUAAAAUUUCACAGUGAACACAUUUUUAGUUUGAAUAGGAAUAUUUUAAAAACGAAUGCAAAAUACAAAGGAGAAAAGCACUGUGUUUGGAAAUUGUGCUUCUUGUCACUACUUAAAGAUAUCUUCAGUUAAAUUACUAUCAAGAGUAUCUACUGAAAAGUUUAAAAUGUCCUCUUUUCAUAUUACAAAAUCUGUCCCUUUCAAUAAUAAAGGCAAUUAUAUGUGGGCAUACCUUGAAGAUAUUGCAGGUUUGGUUCCAAGAUAUGGCCACAAAGCAAAUAAUGUGAUAAAGUGAGACACAAAAUUUUGGGGUUUUCCAGUGCAUAUAAAAGUUACAUUUAUAUUAUACUCUAGUCUAUUCAGUGUGCAAUAGCAUUUUGUCUGAAAAAAUAUACAUAUCUGUGAAAUCCUGCUGUAGAGCACAGGAAACUACAUAUCUAAUCACUUGUGAUGGAAUAUGAUGGAGGACAAUGUGAGAUAUAGAACAUAUAUAUAUGUGUGUGACUGAGUGAUUUUGCUUUACAACAGAAAUUGACAGAAAAUUAUAAAUCAAUCAUAAUAAAAAUUUUUUAAAAAUAAAAAAUGUAAAUAUCAAUGUAAAUGCUUUAUUGCUAAAAAUGCUAAUCAUCAUCUGAGCCUUCAGUGAGCUGUAAUAAUUUUGCUGGUGGAGGGUUUGAAAUUUUUGAGAAUUACCAAAAUGUGACACAGAGAUACAAAGUGAGCAAACGCUGUUGG
rnacentral:lncRNA from 1 species